UUCCUUCCAUUCCUAUUCUGUGUUGUUUUGAUCUUGCGAACGCCUUGAAGGAUGUUUUGUGGCAACUGCGACGUCGCUUCACGUCAUUUUCUGUUACCAUGACCUGCUGCGCGUUUGGAUGCCAAUAUAGUUUUAGCAAAGGCAAGAAUAUGUUCGCGAUACCGUCAGGUAAGCGCAACGGGUUAAGAAGAAAGACAUGGCUUCACCGAACCGGGAGGGAGAACUUCCGACCAACUUCCUCCGCGCGACUAUGUGAUCGGUGUUAGCAGAAUCCCUGUCGCGCUGGUGCCCUCGAACGGUGGAUUAAUCCGGCUAACAACCCACAAGCUGUUCAGGCUGAGCUCCAAGCCAUGAUGCGUCAUUUCCAGAUGAUAAGCGAUGUCCGACAAUUUGGAAGAGAUGGGAUAGUUUGUAGGUCAUCAGAUUCGACCUGUGUUGCAGACCUCCUAAAGUGUAAGACUUUCGCUUCUGUCCCGGAAUGGCCGUACGGGGUGGCAUCGUGCCACCUUUCAGCCCGCUGCACGUGUUCCAAGCCCACCAGACGGGGAGCCCUUCCGAGAACUGCGGAUGACCGGCAGCCACGUGGCGCGCGGUUAGCUCAGGAAUGUGGUACUCCGCCGCGCCACCCGGCACGGAGCACAGUUCUACGAAGCCCUCUGACGUCGACACCGAGAGCUAUGCGGCACCGCGAGCUAUACGACACCGAGAGUUCUACGAAGCCCUCUGACGUCGGCUCCGGACAGUCGGAAUGUGUGUGCCUUUGUGUGUGUGGGCCGUACUGCGGGGCGGCGGCAAGUUUACAAUGACUGGACGAGCGUUUCCGCCCACUCGGACUCCGUCCACGCCGAACGAUGACGUCGAACUAUGACGUCAAGCGGAGAGCUUAUAAGCAGCGUUUGCCGGCUGCUAGAGCGUGCUCGUGUCGUGCUCGUCGUCGGGAGCUGAGUGCUCGUUGUCAUGCUCGAAAUGUAGUAGUGAGCUGUGUGCUCGAAUGCUGUUUGCUGUAUGUUAGUCUUGCGGGCUCCAUAUGGGAGUCGCGCUAGACUGCCAAUGUAUCUUGCUUAAAAUGUAAAAUAUGUAAAUAAAUCCUGUUCCCCGCGAUCCUCUCUACGACCUUCGACUCCUUCAAAUGGUGGCAGCGGCGAGUUAGUCCGACGACUCCUACAUCUGGUUGAAAGCGGUAGGAUCGUCCGACGACUCUUACACUCUUUACGAAAUUUUGCAGUCGUAUCUAAGGGAACUGGAACACUCGCUGGACAGCUUACACUUAAACCUGGAGGCUAAUAAGUGUGCUAUACUUGUUUUUCCCGUUAAAGACCCAGUAUACACAUCGCUUAACUAUCAUCUCGAAGAUAUCCCACAAGUAGAGUCACUAAAGUACCUUGUAUAGUUAAUUAUAACGGAAAUCUUAACUGGCGGCCGCAUAUUGAAUAUAUUGCGACAAAAGGAGCUCGUACAAUGGACAUUUUGCACAAGUUAAGCAAUCGAAGAACAGGUAUGCAAAGAAAAUCCCUCUUGAUGGUAUAUAGAAUGUACGUUCGUCCGGUGUUAGAAUUUCGAUGUGUUUUAUUCUCAGGUGUUCCAUCAUACAAGCUUCGGCCGCUAGUUUUGUUAGAACGAGAGGCACUACGUCUGUGCUUAGGCCUUCCAAAAUACGUUGCAAAUGGCGUAUUAUACCUGGAAGCAAGAAUCCCACCCAUAUUAUGGCGAUUUCACCUUCUGACCGUUCAGACCUUUUUAAGGCUAAAUGAAUCACCAUUAAAUCGUCCUCAAAUUAUUUUCAUCUCUGAUCCAGAAUUAUUUUUUCCUAUUGAUUGGCCCAGGUUUUAUAGACCACUGAUUAUAUUUGUGCAAACAUUACUUGAACCACUAAAUGUGCAAAUUCGUGAUGUGCUUCCUAAUAAUACGCAUUCAAAUUGCCCAGAGAUCAGGUUCGAUGACAUUUUCCCAAACCACCCGAAACUACUCCCUUAUGGCAUUUUAAACGCCAUGUUGCAAGACCACCUAAGCACCCUAGAAACAAACAUUAUCAUUGCAGCACAUGCCUCAUAGAGCGAGGAAAAAGCUGGCAUUGGAAUAUUUUGUCCUGCACUCGACUGGUCUUUUUCUUUAAGAUUGCCUAAUUUUGGGCCUGUUUUUCUGGCCGAGUUGUUAGCAGUAAUCCUAGCUUUACGUAAAUUAGACCAAAUGAUUACAACGGCUGCUAUUCUUACUGACUCCCUUUCUGUAUGCUCUUGCCUUACCGCUACUAAUGAGUCAUCCAUGCUAAAGCUCUUCCACUUACUAGUUCCUGCCCAUGUGCAAUGUGUUCAUUUGAUUUGGGUGCCUGGUCAUAAAGGUUUGUUUUUUAAUGAAAUUGCCGAUUCACUGGCAAAUGCAUCACUAUCCGGCCCUGUUCUUCCUGUUCUACCGGUGACAGCACAGAUCACGGCGGCAAGAUUUCGGAUGCGAUCAAUUAGAUUAGCCUUAUCAAACCCACAUUUGACUGCUUCUCCAGAGUAUAAACACCUGGCAUUUCCCUGGCAUAGCGAAUCCUGUUACACAAAGAUGCUUGAGGUCUGCCUCACCAAAUUAUGCUGCCGCAUUCCCUCCUUAAAUUUCAAUUUACACAGGUCGGGUUUGGUUCCCCCCCUGUGUUCUUUUUGUGAUGAGGAGCAGACGAUGCAGCCCUUUCUUCUAUCUUGUCGCCGCUUUACUGUGUUAAGAAAAACAUUGUUGAAGAUACCUUUUCGAAGAAUUGGCCUAGACUUGACAGAACCUGCAAUUAUUUCGUUCGGGGCGUCCACUUUAGAAUUCAGCCACAGGGAUGCAUGCUUCGUUGUCCAAACAUUCCUUACGUAAUCUAAACGAAUGCCCUGCUCAGUUCUUUUUUUUUACUUUUAAAUUAAUGAUUACUCAUUCAACAUGACCUUCCUGAUUUUAUUUUUACAGGCAAUUCUGCCCCUAUUGAAUGCUAUUCCCAUAGAUAUUAGGAAAUUAAGCUCCAUAUUAAUUUGGGAUAAUCCACCCAUUUCUUGGCCAAUCCCCCAUCGUUGGUAGGAGCCACACGUGUCACAGGCUACAACAACAACAACAACAACAAGCUAGGGAAACUAUGGAGCAUGUUUCAUUAGAAUGUGAAGACGUCUACCCAGCGGUCGAUUUAGGCACCACGGGCCUCCUUGAAGGCCUUGGGUUCAGCGGGAGCAGUGGUAAAGCAAACAUGUCCGCAAUAUACAUUAGUGAGAGGCGAUCGGAGGAUUGGUGGAGGAAAAGUAGGGAAACGACAAAAGACGGAGACGUACAAAAGCACAGUUCGCACUAGGGGAUCAGAAAAUUUGGGUGUGGUAGUUCAUAGUGUUUUUUUAUUUUUUUAUUGUUUAACCUAGGCAGAACAUUAGGCAGUAUAAUAACAAGAGCUUGGUGGCGCAACCCACCGCCCCGUUGCGAAGGGGACGCUCAUAACAUCCAUCCACCCAUCCAUCCAUCCAUUAGUGUUCCUGCGUAUGCUCCCGCAGGGAGCAGAGUUGCGCAUAGGUCCGGUUUAUGAUCCAGCUCUGCAGUGGAGCCACUCUUCGCGAGCGCAGGAGGCAAAUGCUGCGCGGCUUUUCAUUUGCUUUUUUGUAUGCUGGUCACGAGCUACAUGCGGCAACUGUACGGAAGCGCUGAGUAAGAUGACACUAUUUAAUGCAGGCUAAGCUCGAACGAUUGGCGUAGCCGGAGAGGUGCCAACCCCCCCAAAAUUUUUAGUUUGUGUGUACAUAUAUACACGCACAUAUAAAAACACACGCACGAAUAUACAUAUGAAGACUAGGACCCCCCUCGAUCGCUCGAAAUAGUAUCCUGACUACGCCCGUGGUUCGAACAUCUCAAAAGUUCGCGUGCAAACGCGCAUUACCUUGCAACAAAAAGCGGUGCAAUUUUUUCGAGUUGUGGCCGAGUGCUACAUAAUGUCAUAUUGUGUAUUUUCGUUUUUAGUACAAUGAUAUUUUUGUUCUGCCAUGUCUUUUUCAUUUUGUUCAGUAGUAAUAGACAUGUCACGCAUUUCAUAUACUUUUGUGCAGGUACUUAACCAAGUUCUUUCUUUUUUGGUAUGGCUGUCAAUAAACAAUCUUAGCAUUUUAUUCUAUAUUUUAGGUGUUUUGCGUGCCUAUAUUUUUGCCAUUACCAGUGAAUCUUCCUUUUCUUUAGCCGUCAUGACUAUAUCAUACACGUCGUCCAGUUUUGUGCAAUAUCUCAGUGCGCAUAUCAGAAGCCCUUCUACACUUUGGUCUUCAGGGCAAAAUAUAAAUAUCUUUUAUAUGUGUGUACAUGAAAUGGCCUUCGCGUUUUCUGGAGUUUUAUUUUUGUAUUUCACGGUCUGUGAACAUUUGUGUUGUUUUGUAGUCAUCUACAUGUCAUGCAAUUUUCAAUUUUGUUUAUUUUCUGAGCGUGUAUCAUACCAAGUUAUGGGAAAAUAUUUGUUUUCGGAAACGGAACUCAAUAAAAGAGCCCAAAGAUA